GCUGAUUAGAAGAAAAGACAGAGGAUGGACUGAAAACUUCACAUGUUCUACCAAAGUCAGUGUAAAUAUAUUUAGGAACAGAGUAGCAAAAAUGAAUUAAAAAAAACUACCUACAGAAGAUUCACAUGGCCUGCCUCCAUUACACUUCUCGUUUUCAAGAGCUGAGCUGCUGAAAUAAGGAGACUCCUGUUAAUAGACAUUACGUAGUCCAUGGCUCAGACUGGAUCUUUCCUCCAGGGCUUCCUGCAUGGUUAUGCAGACUAGACAGGUCACACAAUUCUGAAAAGGAAGGCUGUAUCUUGUCUUAUGCAACCACUAUGUGCUUACUUUGGCUCCAACCAUCCUGCUCUUGAGCACCUCCAGGGAUGGAGCAUCCACAACUUCUUUGGUCAACAUGCUCCCUAUAGAGCAAACAAUAGCAGGACAGUAGUAUCUAAACUCCAGUUAUGAUGUGCAGGCACAGUAUGUGGAUGUUCAAAGUCCCCCAUUUUCCAGGUUGGUCCCAUUACUAUUGCUAACAUCUGUGUUAGAGGCAAUAACGUGGUCUGAUUUUAUAAUGUAUUUCCUUAAGUCAAUCAGUAGAGCCUUUUUAACUCAAUCUAAGUAAAAAGCUGAGUACAAAUCAAAUAGAAUGAUUUUAGUGUGGUUUUUUGUUUGUUUGUUUGUUUUUUAACUGGAGUUUCUCUGUUUUCAAGUUUAGCAAGUCAGGAGAUAUUUUAUCGAAUGUCCUGUGUAAAGUGCUUCAUAGAGAGCGUUUCUUCUUUAACCAUAUGUAUGGUUAGGUCAUGGCCUGAACCAGUGAUUGAGCUCCUGGUGAAAGGGCAUAGUCAGGCCUGGGAGCACAAGUGGAAGCAAUUCACCUGUCUGAGCAGAAGGGGGGGAGCCUGGAUCCGCCCCUCCAUAACAUUAUUUAAGGGCUGGCAGCCACAAGGGAAGCAUCUCUACUUAGAGGCUGCUUCCUUUGGAGUGUUUGGUGAGUCCUGAUGCUUGGAAAAGGGUUCAUUUUGUACCAAGGCUGAAGGUCACAAAAAGUAAAAAGGAGAAGCAUCUACGAAGGCAGCUUCAGAAAAAUGAAGAUCUUCCCAGUGAGCUGGAAAGUCACUGGGAAAAAAAACUAGCCAGAAUGAUUUUGCAGUUACGGAUAAACACCUCUCCCUUCUUCUGAGUGAGGAGAAAGCUUCAACACUGGAACACUGGAUUAUUUUUAGCUUUGGAGGAAAGGAUCACCAUGGAAACAUAAUGAAGCAUGAGAGUGAUCAGACUGAUUGACAGUGUUAUAGUAAAGGAAGAUUGACAUGAAAGUCAGAGAUAAAAUUCAUGCUGUUCUAAGGCAUAGUUCCCAUAGUAGUUGAAUCAUCAGGUCUCGUUUUCCAGACACUGAUACCACAUGAGAUUUCUUUGUCCUUACACGGGAGGAACAUACUGUACAGGUCACUUUUUUUCUAUGACACAUUGUCAGUUAGCAGGUUGGUAACAACACUGAAAGGCUCCCUAUUGAUGCAACAAAAGUUUAACUCCUGGAAGUAAAGAUUUAAGUGCUACCUUGCUAUAAAGCCGUAGGUUAAUUUGGUCUUAUCUCUAGUAAAGUCAUGAAGAUUUGCCACAUUUCUUUAUGCAAAAACUUGAGGUACUUGUGAUCUUGAAAUUCUUUACAAAUUCAUUCUGAUUUUAUCAAAUUUUUCUAGUAUAUGGGAAGGACAAGAAUGGAGGAAAAAAAAAGCUGGAAGAACAGUUAUUUUGUUUUGCAAUGCUGAAUGAUUUUAUUCUUACUUAGAGAAUACUCAUAGGAUUGAAAAAAAAAAAAAAUAUCUGAAUCAUAGUGAAUAAAAUACUUAAUUGCACAUGAGAAGAUAUUUUCAUCUUCUUUGUUCUCAUUAAGACAAAUACAACCAUCCAUGACUGUUUUAAAUUCAGAUGGAUUUGACUACCAUGAACUGGCAAUAAAAAAAAAUUGCUUAAUUCUACUUGAAUUCAUCAUUUCAAGUGCAAGUCAUCAUUUUCUAUCCUAGAUAUAAACUGAAAUUUAAAAUCUUCUGUAGGAGCAUUCUUCUAAUCUCACGUGCUAGUUGUAACAUCAGAAGAUUACUUAAUUUCCGGGAAUAACUAACCAAAGAACUAAUGCCAUUAAUGCCAUAAUGUCUGUGAUCUGCAGUCUUUCAAAGAGGGUUUUUGCUUGCUUGAUCUGUUCUUCCUGCUCAGCCCAGCUCAUUUCAUCCCAUGGUUCCCUCUAGCUCAUGCCUUUCUUUUCCAUGGACAAUUUCCUCAUUCACUGGCACUUUAAAAAGUCUAUUAAGCAUAUUUUUCCUUACUCUGCAGUGUUUCCUUGUUUGUUUAUUUGUUGACCUAUUUUUAUUCAGUCUAUUCUUUAUUCUGGAGGAUAUUUCUGCCCUAAGACCCAAAGUUUCUUGAUUCACUCUAAGUCUUUAAAUUGUCCAGGAGCCACAGUUGGUAUAGUCAGAAACAGAGUUCAGGAACUCCAUUUUCACUCCUUACUUUGUGAUUUAAGUCCAAAGCAUUUGAUCUAGAGUGGUCACAGGACAGCAGCGUAAUCAUUUUUAAGAUGGUUCAAGUGUGACAGCGAGGCAGAUGUUAAAAUAAUCUCUGACCACAGUGACCCUUCUUGGCUGUUUCUCUUUUCCACUUCAACUGCAAACAAAUAUUUAGCUCCAAUUACCUCAUUGAAAAGCCCAUAGGGAGCCAAGCCUGAUAUUAUAUCAUGUGCAGACAUUUCAUGGCUUACUGCAGUGGUAUGGAGACCUACGAGAUAGCAUGCGCUCUUUCCAGUUUUGUGUCAUGCUUGGUGCAGUCUGUCGCUGGAUGACUAACAGUGGAUUGUCCACUUGUAGGGGAAAAGCCCCUUGCUGUUCUGUGUCUGAUCUACGCCCAUUCUGCCAGGAGUGCACCCUAUGGAUUUUGCAACAUGGGCCUAUGGGAGCACAAGCAGUUUUUCUCUUCGAUUAGCAAUUGCCAUACAAUGAAAGAACCUGGAGUGGGAAUCAUGGGGUAAGUAAUCUCCAUGGGUGCAAUGGCAGGAGGAACUGCAGGUCUUUCACAAGACCCUCUCAAGACAACAGGAAAAAGAGAGAAGAAAGAAAAGAAAAAUAAGAGGGGAAAUAGAACAAGAGGAAAAUAAUUGUACAGUCAAAAAGCACUCAAUGGGAAAUAUCUAACUGCAAAAGCGUGGGGAGAAGAUUGAUCUUAACCUGUAGCGACUACACUGGUAACUAAUAAUGUGAGCUGCCAGCCACUGCUGUAACACUUGUGGAGCAGUUUUGUGUGGAAAAUCUCACAGCCCAUAGGUCUCAUUUCUUCUCCAGACUUUCUACAAGUAAACCUUUUAGGGAUAGAUUUUAAGUGCACUUAGACACAUACCAGCCAAGAUACUUAAAACACUGAAAGAUCUGUGCUUUAGAAACAGACCUGAAACCUUUCUAGCAGCUGAAGACUUUCAGCAUCACCGAAUUACUGAGUUGCCAUUGAAAUUAGUGGCUUUUAUCUUUAAAAUAGGAAAAUAAUAGUUUAAUCACACAAUUGCUAGGGUAGGUAGCUAGAGAUCCUCUUUUGUAUAGAAGCAGGCACAUUCAAUUACCUGUCUGUUCUGUCAAUACUGACUGUCCUGCCAAGAACUUCUAGUUUUUCCUUUGUCCUCCCAAGGACUGGUGCCUAUGUUGCUGGGGCAGAGGAUGCCAGGUGCCCUCUCCUUCACCCCCAUCAAUUCCCAGAGUCCAGGUAUGCAGCACAGCAGCAAUCAAGCCACAGUGUGUACCUGAGGGUAUAUAAUGUGGUGACAUUGCAGUGUUCCAGGUCAUUUAUAUCUACCAGGUAUAGGAGUAUCCAGUACAACAUUUGGAGCCUUGAAAUUAGCUUUUCUUGUUCCCAUUACCUGGCUUUACUUGUACUGAUGGACAGAUUACAAGCAGUUUUAUGGACUGAUGAUUAUUGGGUAACUCUGGUUAAGCUGAUUCAAGAGGGCUCUCCAGAGAUAUUUUCCAGAUGUGUCUUCUGGGCACAAGAUUUCUUUGCACUAUCACUGUGGAUUGGGGUAAAAUGUCACGAAGAGAUUUCUUGUUACAACCAUGGCCUGGGAUCUUCUCUUAUUUUCAAUAGCAGUGCUGCAGCCUUCUGAACUGAAGUGUCACCUAAGAAGCCUCCAGCUGACAUUUAUGAAAAAAUGGGCUUUAGAGUUUUAUGGGAGAAGUUCCCAUCAGAUGAAUACGAUUAGUGCAAAGUUUGUUUGGAGUCUUAGUAAUUUAUGUAGACAAAUCUAGGUCUUUAAGCAUGUUGCCUGCUGCCAAAAUGGAAGAAUAAAUGUGCAUUAAAGCAGCUAACAGUCAUUGAUUACCCAAAUCCACAGUUCUUCCUCAGGGAAUAUUUUCAGCCUGUAAACAGAAAAUCUACUGUAAACGCCACACUGACAUUAGCUCAGUACUGCACAGAACCUUUGGAUAGAGUGCUGCAGAAAUUAAAUGGCUAUUAUAUUAUGAAUUAAUUAUAUAUCCUUGGAGUUCUUUAUGAUCGUGAUGGGUAAUAGUAAUUACACAACUGCGCACUGGGUUUAGGUGUAUAAUGCUAAGUAAUUAUUCUAUUUUCUUUGUGUGUCUGCCUCCAAAUCCUAAUCUUUUUAAUGGAAAUAGCUGGUAACAUCUCUGAUGGAUGGUCUUUCACAUUUAAUAGAAAUGUGAAAUAAAGAGAAAGAGCACUGGCACUAAGAGCUGGCUGAGAAAACAAGUAGAAUGUAGAAGCCAGCAAUAUCACAGGGGCAAUAUUCUUAACUGAGAAUGUGUGACACAAGGUUAGGCAUAAAAAGUUUUGCCUCAUUAUCUGAGUACUUAAUUAGGUGACAGUGAAUAAAAAGAAUGUAGAUUGUCAUUCCAUGAAUCAGAAAUCAGCAGUGGGAAUGGCUGCUGAUUGUCAGGGAGUUUCAUCACUCAUUAAUGUACCUGGAUAUACAUAACAGAAGAAUAUUAACAAAAGAAACUUCACAGCUGAAAAGUUGGAUGAAACACCCAAAUACAUCAUGCAAAGAACAGCAAUCACCUUUUCUUGAUUCAAUGACUUUUGCUUGAUUCUUUCCUUUAAGCUGAUGUAGCAGGACAAAUUAUUUCUUGAUCCUGUAUCUGAAUUGACAAGGCUGUAGCUUCACACAAUUUGCCCUGGGAGACCGGGAAGAAUUGCAAAAAUUGUCUUCUCUUCAUUCCCACAUUGCUGGUAAGGAACUAAGGCUGAAAGUCCAGCAAUCUAUCACACCCUCCGAAUAGUCUUGGAAGGGCAUUACAGAUAUUCUCCACAACAGAUUGAUUAUUAAUUUAAACUGACUAUUGCCACCA